AAGACUACACUUUCAGGGAUCAUUUCUAUAGUUCGUUACUAGAGAAGUUUCUCCGAAAGUGUAGAGCACUGUAUCGUGA
rnacentral:snoRNA from 1 species